GCAAACCAUAGCUCUCAAUUAUAGGUAGAAACUAAACACUGCGUUUGCAUGGGGGAAAAGGAACCUCCUUGACUUCUGAUCACUAUGUUUCUGCCGUUUGGUUGUGAUUCGACGCUCAUCCAUCUUAUUUGAGCGGUCUGUUAGAUUUGGUGAAAAACGUGCUAUUUGACAUUCUUUCUGUUUUGUUCCCAGAUAUGUAUCAUGGGGUGAAAAGGCUUUUUCUGUCUCUCUUCCCCUUUUGGAAGGGAAGGAGCUAGCUAGCUAGCUAGAGGGACUGAGCGAGCGGCACUAAACUUGUGGGAAUAACAAGUUUCACAGUCCAAAAAACCAGGGAAAUAAUAAUAAUUAUAAUAAUAAUUACAAUAAUAUUAAAACCAGACUCCACCUUUGCACUAAAAGGAUUGGUUAUGCAAAUCUGGAAGGGCUUUCCUGGCAAAUGCAGCUUUCUACUGUAUGGUUAAUUAAAUCAUCACUCAAAAGCCUUCCAAUGUGACGCUUCUGUCGUAAUCCAAUCAGGUUACGUAGGUCCUAAACAAGAAAGAUAUUUUCCACAUCUGGAAGUCAGCAAUUUAGCAAGUACUGCACAUUAUUAACCAAUUCAGAGCCCCCUUCCCAAGGGGAUUUUUUUUUGAAGUUUAAGUGUUCUUAACCAAUGCUCUGCUGUUUUGUUAAUCAAAAAGCUGGUUUGCACUGCACAUAAUUGGAAACUAAUAUAGAAGUAACUAAAGACAGCCAAAUUUGUGGAUGGUGAGCAAAGGCGUUUAUCUGAAAGGGGAGGUGGAGGGUGAUCUCUGAGCCUUUAUCAGUUCAUGCCCAGCUCCUCAGAGAACCCACAUACAGUUCCUUCUCUGGAAGAACUUUACAUAAUCUCAAUGUAAAGAUGAACUUCAGAUCUUACAUGUUUGUAUGAUCUUUCUGAAAGUAAAUGUGGAGCUGCCCAAGGGCUGCAUUAGCGGGCUCUGUAUGAAUUUCCCUGCUUUGACAGAGUUAAAUCUAUUACUGCACUUUUUUCCCCCUCCUGAAGUAAACUGAAACAAAUGGUACACUGAUCCGACACUAUACUUUUACUUACAUUAAGCUAAGAUAAACUGCUCUUGAACUGUGCAUUGAAUGUAUGCCUAAAGCAAGAAUUGUAAUGCUAGCAAUAGUCACUAGCAAUUGCCCUCAAAAAUGCUCCUGAUCAGAGCACACCUUUCUGAUGAUUAAACAUUGCAAAGAGAGAAAAAUCAAACAAGCAUUUGCAGACGAUCGCUCCCUCAGAGACCUGGGGAUUAUUUUUAUCUGUUAAUAAAGCUACUCCUCGAUUAAAAAAAAAUAAAAUCUGAACGCACUACCCUGGCAAUCAUCCGAUCAUACGAUUUUGGGGGAAAGAGGGAAGAUUGAACAGUUGGUUACGACAUAAAAUUUGGACACAUCUGGGGACUGUAACUGUCAAUGCAACUAAUGAAUAUAAACUGAGUGUUAUUAGAAACCUGAGAUGUCUUAUUGUAGGCACAUUUUAGAGCAACAAGGACAAAAUCUUUUUUAACAGUUCCAAAUAAAAUCCUCAGCUCAAGUCAGUUUGUUUUCCUGCUGCUUCUCUGUUGUCAUUCAGCGAGUGAAGAGCUGACAGCCUUCAAUCAGUGGACAUUACUACCCUACCCGACCAGCACAGCCCAGAUAUUUGCACCAGUCUGCCGGUGGGGUGGAUCACACCCCGUUCCUAGGCCGGCUCACUGGGGAGAGUUCCCUCCUCCCUCCACUUUUCCUGUGUGCUGCAAAGCGAAAGAGAGGAAACUUCGGAGCACACACCCGGGUCCUGUGCUGUAUUGCUACAAACCGAGCCUGACUGAUGGCACAAAUGCAACCAACGCUGGCGGGGCUGCUACCUCCCCUUCAAUGAUUUUCCCUUUGUCAAUUGCAUCCCUCACACGUGAGGGGCCAUGUGAGCUCAAGACCCCUUCUCUGUCUCCCUGCACCAGCGCCUCCUCGCCCAGUGUCUGCUUUAUCACCACGGCCCAACCCGGAAAGGUGGAUUUGGGCGAGAGAGAGUCGGAGAGCUGCUGGAUGUCGUUUUUGCUCCUUGCAGUGAUUUUCGGUUUCAUCUCAUGAAGUUAGUUUUAAUCACAAGUAGCAAAGUUGCAUUCUCCCAGGACAAAGACACAAAGCUUUCUGUAGCAUCCUAAACAGAAGGAUAUUGAAGGGAGCUGAUUCUGCUUUGAUCCUUAUGCUUGUUGUCAAAGCGCUUGGGAUUGAAGAGACUGUUGGCUACAAUUGACUGUGACAAUUAGGAGAUGAUCAGAGCCCUAGAGUGGAGCACUUAAAGGUUGGCAGAUCUUUCUUUUUUUAAAAGCUGCUUUUGAAGGAAAAAAUAUGGAUUUCCAGAAGUAAGGGACUAUGAAAGACAGCUCCUUUUCACAAGCUGGAUUCACCUCUCGUCAUAUUAUACAGAAUUGUAACAUGUAAGCUAUUGUUUUGAAGCUUUACUAUGUGAUUGUCCUUUCUCAUCUGAAUAGGAUGCGCAUAUCUCUGGUGGAUGUAGGUUAGCUAAGUAAAUCAUGCAUAGAUGGAAUUUAUUAAGUUUGCAUGGUAGUGACAGCUGUGAGUGGGAACAGUAACUCUGAAUGUGCCAAAGGCUGGGAGAGGAGGAAUUUUUGUAUGUUUCUUAAAGGAAAAUGCUUCAGUGUAAUUAUGAAAGCUAUUCAAAUCCCUACGUUUAAUUACAAAGGGGACAAAGUCACUAAAAUUAUUUUUAAAGAAUAAUAAUCUGACCAGAAGCUGUUGUUUGGACGAUCUCUGGGACAGAUUAGGGCAGAGAAGAGUCAGGUUCCAUUAAGACCCACUGAAAAUUUGGCUGUUUAAAGAUAAAUCCAUUUAAAUAGAGACAUAUUUAUAUACAUCAAUAUAAUGUAACAAUUGGUUAAAUUAUCUGUUAAACUGACUAAAAUAUUAUUUUUACACAAAAUUUACUUCAAAAUAACUUGGAAACAAGUCUGAUUUUCAGCAGCUAAUGGUAACAUGGAUCCCAUUCUGUUUCUUGACAUGUGCCCCCUCUUUGAUGCAUCACUUAAACUGUCAUGGAGAGAGAGAGAGAGAGAGAGAGAGAGAGAGAGAGAGAAAUUCCAGUCACUGGAUCAGUCCUGCUCUAGCCUUCUGAACACAAGUGACAUUCAAUUCAGUGGGACUCCUCAUGUGAGUAAAUCGUUCUUGUUGGUAAGGAUUUGCAGGAUUGGGCCCACAAAGGAAUUGAGACCCAGAAGUAGUGAGAGACAGCUAAUGCUAAAUACAGAUUUUAAAAAAUCAUCUUUAAAUACAUGGCCCUAAUCCUGUUAACCCUUUGAAACCUUUUUAAGCCCCAUAACCCAGCAGACCCGUGUUUGGGAAAGGUCAGGCCUGCUGUCUGUUCCAGAGUGGUGGGUAGUGUACAGUGAGCUACCUCCAUUAAACCCCUUUAAUUUUGCUUUGUACACUGUCACACUGAAGUUACAGUAGAUUGAGGGCUAAAAUAAUCUCUACGGAGCUGUUGCAGAAGAAGAGAUAACAAGAGGUGUCUUAGGGCUUGUCUCCAUUUACCAGGAGAUUGAUGUGAAGAGAUCAAUCUCCUGGGGUUUGAUUUAGUGGGUCUAGUAAAGACCCACUAAAUCAAUUGCUGAUGGCAUCCCAUUGACUCUAGUACUCCACUGGAUUGAGAGGAGUAAUGGAACUUGAUGGGAGAAUUUCUCCUGUCAACUUCCCGUGGUGGGAAUGCAGGAGAAUUCCAACCUAAGUUAUGAAGGCCACUUGAUCAACCCUACCCCUUCACCACUGCCAAAUACUGUCACCACAGAACAUAUAGAUGGGGAGGAAUGAGCUGUUCCAUCUGUGUACUGGUUUGACCUACACUAGGCCUGAUUUGAUUUGGCAGUAGUAGCUUUAUGUUGGAUUUACUUCUGACUUUCACUGUGGUAAAAUCAGAGGAGUAUCAAGGACUAAGGUUUGUGUCUCUUUGUGUUUGAUUAGACUCUUUGGCUGAGAGAUCUGCUGACUUGUACAGAUCCAGGAUCCCUCAAGCUGGGUAGAUAAGACAAAGUUUUGGUCCAUCUGUGCCUUUCUUUUAUUUAGUGACUGGACUUGAUGUCCUCUCGAGGUCCCUUCCAGUUCUAAUGUUCUAUGACUUGUCUCCAUAUAUCAGUCCUUUAUUUUUCUAGUCCUUCCAGAGAUGCUAAGCACAGCUACAGAGAAGGAAAGACACAGGUAGCUUUGAGCUAUCUAGUUUCUUUAGUUCUGGAGUUGUUGGGCACUGAUACCAUCUCCUAUAUAAAACAGAGCAACUUAGUGAUAUGGUGGCUGUCAGCAGACCACAAAGGCAACUCAGCAGCCUGGAAUCAGAGAGUGGCAGGGAUAUGUAAGCAUGGCAUACGGGGAUAGGUUGUCAAAGGACCUGUGGGAUCCCUCUAUUGGUCUAUUAAAUUGUGUUGUGUACUUAUUGCACUUCUAGAAUGGUGCAAAAUAACCUAAACUGAAUGGAGCAUCCAGCCCAUUGUGUUAAGUAAAUAUGUGUCCACCAAUGUAAGGAAUUAUCUUAAUCACUGACAUUUUCUUUUGCUGUAAAUUUAAGGUUGAAUGAGAAAACACAAUACACUCAUGAACACAGUUUUAAUAGGGCUGUUUAUUUUCCAUUGUAUAAUAAUUUUUGAAAAGCAACCCUCUUUUUAUAACUGUUAACAGCAUCCCAUUUUAGAGACAUUCUGAAAAAAAUUAAAUUAAUUCUAAUUUUGCAGGGCUCUUUAGGUGGCAUCUUUUAAUUUUCACCUUUUCUGGGACUUUUGUUGCAACCUAAGAUUUAACUUUUAAAUCCAUGUUUUUAAUGAAGCACUGCUUUCUCUGUUUUUUGUUGUUAGACCACAUGGGAUAUGUUCUCUUGAUGUGUGGGGAGUUAUGAUUAGAUGAGAAUAUACCUCUGAGAAAGCUUAUAUUAUCACACAUAAAACAUCAGAAAUUGCAAAAAUGAUGUUCAUAACUGUGAAAAAACAAUGGAUCUUAUCUGAGAUUUUCCUAGUCACACCGUAGCAUCAGUACAGUAUUUAAGGCUGUCUCAGAGUUUGCUAGGAUUUAUAAUGUAUUAAAACUAUACAUAAAGGGCAUCUGAAAAAAAUGUUCCCAAAUCAAAACUGAAUUUUGUUCCAAACACAUUCAUUACUCUUUUGUGUUUAUGUUAUAUAUUUCAUGGUAAAAAUCACAAUUAGCAGUUGGCACUGUAUUGGCUCUUUUGAUAAAUUAUGUGGGAUUUUUGUCCUCUGUUUAGAUGACUUUGGAUCUAAGCAACACAGACCAAACAGCAAAUAUUAUAACUAAAUAUACAAUUUGAAGUUCAUGCUGUGUUGAUUAAUUAAGUUGGUUACAUAACUUACCUGUUCCUGGUAGUAACUGGCACAAGUUUUAGUGCAAGUUGUCUAUUUUAUAUUCACUUGUUAAUUGUUCAGAAUCUGAGGCUCACAAAAUGUUUUCAGAUUAAAUAUGUGAAUCACAUAGAAUAGCAAAUAAAUCUCUGAAUAUUAUGACCUGUUAAGGUAAAAUGAUUUAUUGUUAAUUAUUCUCUCACUUCACAUUUUGAUGCAAAUCAUUGAGGGCUUGAUCCUUCACCAUAAAAAUUACUGGAAGCUUUUCCAUUGACUUGGAGCAGGCUCAGCUCCCCAAAAUAAGCAUAUAUCCUUCCAGAAAUACCCAUGCUUCCUUAAUGCUAUGUAAUGGGCUAAUGAAUUUAUGUAUGCCAUUGUAUCUAAAUAAUGGAGGAAAAAUGGUCCAAUAAAUGUCACCUUUGACUAUUGGUUUCUGGUAUGUACUGGUUUCAGCAAAAUUAUUAAAAUAGAUUUUGGUAGGAAAACAUUACUCAAAUUCAAUUUUAAAGAUCUAUUAUGUUUUGAAAUCUAAUUUCUCUUCUUUUAAGUCAUUGUCAGAACAAAGGAAGUCUAACUUUUACAGUGUUUCAGAAAAUGCGCACAAUUUAAAACAAACUUAAUUCCACACAAUGUGUUUUAGUGAAUGUACACUGAAAUCCAUUAAAAGACUCAUUACAAAAUAAAGGAAUAUUGUAGACAAUUCAAAAAGCAGAGAGUUUUCUUUAAUGAGUCUAUUGUUUUACUAUAUCUAUUUAUUAAUGUUGUUAUGGAAGAACUUACUAUACUGCCCUUGAAAUGCAUAGUGACAUAAACUCUACACAUGUGCUAUAAGAAUGGUUCCUCUGAUCAUCUUGUGGUCUUACUAAUCGUCAGAUGUUCCUCAUCUUUGUGUCUGGUUUUUUUUCCAGACAAGAUUGCUGAAACUGCAACUUGUUCUGAGCAGGCCCUUGAAUCUACACAAAAUACUCUACUGAUUCCAAGCCCACAGGUCUACCCAUGCUAAAUAAAUUCCAGGAUUGAGUCCUAAAGUCUGUUUAAUAAUGAAAGCCUCCAGUGCCUACAUCUGAGUCUUCUUCCAGAGCAUUUAAAAAGAAAUAUAGAAUUAUGUGUUUGUGCAUAGAGAAGUAACCAAAAUAUAUGAAUAAUAUCUCAGAAUAUGACUUUAAAAAUGCUCACAUUCUACCUAGGUGGUCAACUGCAAGGAAGAUUUUCUUCAAAGUCGGUCGAUAGCAGAUGCAAAUCAUUUAAAAAUGAGAAUGUCCCAUUAAUACUAUGUACCAAAGCAGGAAGAAAUGGAAAAACCCAGUUCGUGCUUUCUCCAAGUUAAAUUGCUUAUCCAUGUUUUACCAGCCUUUAUCAGAGUUUGUAUACUUGCUCCAAUUAAAUUAUUUUUCUUCAGGGAAGCUUGUGAGGCUCUUACAGAAAUUCUGUUAAUUUCUGAGUAAUGCAGUUCUGACAAUCACUUAAGACAAGAUAGUUGAUACUGCUGUCAGGAAAGACUCUUUUUCAAAAGAAUGUUUUUAUAGAAUAUCAUUGUGACACUUUGCUCAGAUGGAUGUCUUUAGUAGAAUUUGAUUAAUGUAAUGUAAUA